ensembl:ncRNA Y47G6A.39 ncRNA
AGGUUCCAUUACGAAAUCCGUACUCCCAGAACGGACCACUCUCAUACGCCACCAUGAUACAGAAUCCACGAAGUUUCGGUUUUGAAGAGAACGAGAAAAGAGCAGUUUGAGGACGUUUCGUUUCGUUUAACAACUUAUUUGAUCGUUUGCUUCCCAGGAAUCCCUGACGGCAGAGCUCGAUUUCAGGCAAAAAUCCGAGAAAUGAAAUAGAGUCGAUCAGUGUUACAUGGCUUCCUAUUUUUUGUUUCUUGAAUAGCUGCAAAUUUGAAAUAAAUACUUGAAUUUCAAAA